UUCAGGCCUAACACAUGCAAGUCGAACGGAGAGCUUCCAGGUAUUUAUACCCAGAAGUUUCUUAGUGGCGAACGGGUGAGUAACGCGUUGGUGACCUGCCCCGAAGCGGGGGACAACUCCGGGAAACUGGAGCUAAUACCCUAUGUGGUCACGAGGGUUAGAGGCCUCGUGUCUAAAGGUUUCGAUCACUUCGGGAGGGGCCUGCGUCCCAUCAGCUUGUUGGUAGGGUAACGGCCUACCAAGGCGACGACGAGUAGGGGGCCUGAGAGGGUGACCCCCCACAAUGGAACUGAAACACGGUCCAUACACCUACGGGUGGCAGCAGUAGGGAAUAUUGCCCAAUGGGCGAAAGCCUGAGGCAGCAACGCCGCGUGUGCGAUGAAGGCCUUCGGGUUGUAAAGCACUUUUCUGAGGGAAGAGGAAGGACGGUACCUCAGGAAUAAGGCUCGGCUAACUACGUGCCAGCAGCCGCGGUAAAACGUAGGAGCCAAGCGUUAUCCGAAUUUACUGGGCGUAAAGCGCGUGCAGGCGGUGUGGUAAGUUGGAUGUGAAAGCUCCCGGCUCAACUGGGAGAGGCCGUUCAAUACUGCCACACUCG
rnacentral:rRNA from 1 species